GGUAUUGUAAGUGGCAGAGUG
rnacentral:siRNA from 1 species